rnacentral:lncRNA from 10 species
AUCAUAUAGGCAGGAGGCAACAAAAUUAGUUAAAUAGGUAUUGCAUUUACAUGGUUAGUGUGUGUGUGUGUGUGUGUGUGUGUGUGUGUGUGUGUGUGUGUGUGUGUAUCUUCUCACCCUGUGUUCCAUCCACUUUGUUUCAUCACUCCACCUCAACAGAUGGCCACUGAUAUUAGAUGCUUGUGUAUUUUUUUUUUUUUGUUACUUCAGAGAGAGCCUCUUU